rnacentral:rRNA from 1 species
CUUGGUCAUUUAGAGGAAGUAAAAGUCGUAACAAGGUUUCCGUAGGUGAACCUGCGGAAGGAUCAUUAUCGAAUCGUAGGCGAGGGUUGUAGCUGGCCUUUCGAGGCAUGUGCACGCUCGAGCCCUUAAUCCACUUUACACCUGUGCACUUAAUGUAGGUCGCCCUUAAAAAAGGUGACCUAUGUCUUAUCAUCAACCCAUCGUAUGUCUCAUAGAAUGUAAUCGAUAUCCUCGCCCUGAAAAAGCGUUGAUAAACUUAUACAACUUUCAACAACGGAUCUCUUGGCUCUCGCAUCGAUGAAGAACGCAGCGAAAUGCGACAAGUAAUGUGAAUUGCAGAUUUUCAGUGAAUCAUCGAAUCUUUGAACGCACCUUGCGCUCCUUGGUAUUCCGAGGAGCAUGCCUGUUUGAGUGUCAUUAAAUUCUCAACUCCAAGGGUUUCACGACCUUUCGGAGAUUGGACUUGGAGGUGCUGGCCGCAUAUUGGUCGGCUCCUCUCAAAUGCAUCAGCGGAAUUCAACCUUUGGCUUCCGGAUGUCAGUGUGAUAAUCAUGUUGCGCUGUCGUUUGAUCCCUCAGAGUCCGCUUAUAAUGGUCUUCGGACAAAAUCAUCAUCAAAUUUGACCUCAAAUCAGGUAGGACUACCCGCUGAACUUAAGCAUAUCAAUAAGCGGAGA